AUUGAACGCUGGCGGCAGGCCUAACACAUGCAAGUCGGACGGUAGCACAGAGAGCUUGCUCUUGGGUGACGAGUGGCGGACGGGUGAGUAAUGUCUGGGGAUCUGCCCGAUAGAAGGGGAUAACCACUGGAAACGGUGGCUAAUACCGCAUAACGUCGCAAGACCAAAGAGGGGGACCUUCGGGCCUCUCACUAUCGGAUGAACCCAGAUGGGAUUAGCUAGUAGGCGGGGUAAUGGCCCACCUAGGCGACGAUCCCUAGCUGGUCUGAGAGGAUGACCAGCCACACUGGAACUGAGACACGGUCCAGACUCCUACGGGAGGCAGCAGUGGGGAAUAUUGCACAAUGGGCGCAAGCCUGAUGCAGCCAUGCCGCGUGUAUGAAGAAGGCCUUCGGGUUGUAAAGUACUUUCAGCGGGGAGGAAGGCGGUGAGGUUAAUAACCUUGCCGAUUGACGUUACCCGCAGAAGAAGCACCGGCUAACUCCGUGCCAGCAGCCGCCGUAA
rnacentral:rRNA from 1 species